UACAGAGGGUGCGAGCGUUAAUCGGAAUUACUGGGCGUAAAGCGUGCGUAGACGGCUAUCUAAGUCGGGUGUGAAAGCCCCGGGCUCAACCUGGGAAUUGCAUUCGAGACUGAAUAGCUAGGGUACGGUAGAGGGAAGUGGAAUUUCCGGUGUAGCGGUGAAAUGCGUAGAUAUCGGAAGGAACAUCAGUGACGAAAGCGACUUCCUGGACCAGUACCGACGUUCAGGCACGAAAGCGUGGGGAGCAAACAGG
rnacentral:rRNA from 1 species